CUGCCAGCCGCCGCGGUAAUACGGAGGGUGCAAGCGUUAUCCGGAUUCAUUGGGUUUAAAGGGUGCGCAGGCGGAUACUUAAGUCAGUGGUGAAAUCCCGGGGCUCAACCCCGGAACUGCCAUUGAUACUGAAUAUCUGGAAUACGGUUGAAGUGGGCGGAAUGUAGCAUGUAGCGGUGAAAUGCAUAGAGAUGCUACAGAACACCGAUCGCGAAGGCAGCUCACUAAGCCGAUAUUGACGCUCAGGCACGAAAGCGUGGGGAGCGAACAGGAUUAGAUACCCUGGUAGUCCACGCCGUAAACGAUGAUAACUCGUUGUUGGCGAUACACAGUCAGCGACUAAGCGAAAGCGAUAAGUUAUCCACCUGGGGAGUACGAUCGCAAGGUUGAAACUCAAAGGAAUUGACGG
rnacentral:rRNA from 1 species